rnacentral:rRNA from 1 species
AUGCAAGUCGAACGCGAAAGUUCCCUUCGGGGAAAAGAGAGUGGCGCACGGGUGAGUAACACGUAGGUAAUCUACCGGGGGAUGGGGAAUAACACCGAGAAAUCGGUGCUAAUACCGCAUAAUGCAGCGGCACCUAAUGGUGACAGUUGUUAAAGCGGGGGAUCGUAAGACCUCGCGUCUAAAGAGGAGCCUGCGGCGGAUUAGCUAGUUGGUAAGGUAACGGCUUACCAAGGCGAUGAUCCGUAGCCGGCCUGAGAGGGCGGUCGGCCACACUGACACUGACAUACGGGUCAGACUCCUACGGGAGGCAGCAGUCGGGAAUUUUGGGCAAUGGGCGAAAGCCUGACCCAGCAACGCCGCGUGAAGGAUGAAAUCCCUCGGGAUGUAAACUUCGCAAGAACGGGAAGAAUAAGUUGGUGUGAAUAUCACCAGCGAUGACGGUACCGUUUGUAAGCUCCGGCUAACUCCGUGCCAGCAGCCGCGGUAAUACGGGGGGAGCAAGCGUUGUUCGGAUUUACUGGGCGUAAAGGGCGCGUAGGCGGCCACCGCAAGUCGAUUGUGAAAUCUCCGGGCUUAACCCGGAAAGGUCAACCGAUACUGC